CCGUUUCAUUCGAAACAAGGCUCUCUUUUUUAUUUCAAAGAAUUUAAAUGAAGUCGGCGGCCCCCAUGCCGACUUCAAUCAGCCCUUCUCAAGCCUUCCGCAGCCCUCCGUCGGCUGCCCACCACCCUCCCUUUAUCUUCAUCCCUCUCCCACCCAUCCCCUCUCUCUCCUCUCUUCCAUCUCCCUCAACCCCUCUUUCAUUGGUUUCUUGAUUUGAAAGUCAGAAUCAUCCCUGUCUACUACUCAUUUGACAUGGUAUGCCUUGAACUAAGCAGUUCAGGAUGAUUCUGCCGAUGCUGGUUUUGAAUCUGAUUCCCUUCCAACCACAUGUUCUCAGUUUUUCUGACUCAUGUUUUUCACUUCACUUUUCUUUUUCCUAGGUAACGAGGGUUUUGGUCUUGCAUGAGUUCCUUUUUUCCUUCAUUAUUCUCUAGUCUUUUCCUUGUUGAUUUCAGCAUUGGUAUGACAGAAGACAACUUGGCUUGCUUGGGGGCUGACUAGGAUUGGUGACAACUUCAAUUUCCGAAGGGCCAACUAGGGUUUUGGUCUUGCAGGGCCAUUCCUCCAGAAACUUUCAUUAGCAUAUCUUCUGUGAUGGUCAUGACUCAUGAUGUUUGUCAUGUGGAAGUCUGCCCCCUCUCCCAAACUAUGAUUUGUUUAUAUUAACGUAUGAUUUCUUUUUGAAUCAGAUUUUGACUGAGUCAAUCGAGUCAAGACUAAUCCAAAAUCUGAGUUUUAUAUAAGUUGAGACUUAUAAAAUUGCUGAGUCAAGUUGGUUUUGCCAAGUGUUGAAUCAACUCAAAUUUUUAAGUUAUGUUUUCUACACAAAAUAAAGCUACGGUUGCAUGCACAUGGUCAUGUUUUCCUGUAUCUAUGCGCCAGGCAAAUAACGGAUGUUUUGCAAAUACACUUGCGGACUCUAGAUAGCAAAGACGGGAUUAUAAAAUGUUUAAUUGCAUGUUUGCAGUUCGUUAACUUCAUUGCAGUGAGAAAGAUAGAGCAAGAGUUCAUGAAUAUUACAUAUCCAACACUCUAAAAUUCUGGAAAAAUGGGUCUAUAAUAAAAUAUGCACCAAAGUAAUUCGUUGGAAACCAAGAACACCAAACUAACAGUAUCUACAAUGCUUAUUUUGUGGAUGGACUGAAGGCAUGGAGCGCUGGAUGUUGUCAAGCUGUUUUAAAGCAGGUAGUAUUGAGAUGCUAAGAAGAGAAAUUUUUUGUGCACCAUGGGUAGUGUAAAAAAUUUGAUGUGGAGUGUAUUGUUUUAUCUAAUUGGUUCAUAUAGUCAUUAUUUGGCAAAGCGCAUUUAAUAUCUGCAGUUUUAUUUUUUUAUUUAAAAUUUUAAAUGAUGAAAAUAUUUUUGCUUUUUGAAAAAAAAAAGAUAUCUUAUAUCUAUAUCAUGAUAUUUUGCAGG
rnacentral:lncRNA from 1 species